AUCUUAUAUAUGUAGUUGCCAGCGGAUGAAUUACUGAUAUAGACAGCUGUACACGAACUUACACAGUUAUAAUGGAUUACAGAUUAACUAAGACAGCAAACAAUGCUUGGAUGAAGGCUCCAUAUUCCACUCAACAUCUCCACAUGCUCCCAUGACUGAAGUGAAGAUAUAAUCAUCCAUCUCAAUACCCUCUGCCUGCAUCCGAUACAUGAGCUUCAAUGCCUCUCGGCAGCGUCCAUUCCUUGCAUAACCCAAAAUCAUUGUUUUCCAAGAAAUCAAGUUCCGCUCUGGCAUACUGUCAAAAACUUGAAUUGCAUCUGAUAAAUAUCCACACUUGGAAUACAUAUAAAUUAAUGCACUACCUACAAAGACAUUAGAUGAAGCUGGUGUCUUGUUGGCAAAGGAGUGUAUCAAUUUUCCUUGCAGAAUAGCAUCGAGAUUAGCACAAGCUUUCAAAGCUGA
rnacentral:misc_RNA from 1 species